rnacentral:ncRNA from 1 species
GCGUAUUUUGCCCAGGCGGAGCUCGACCGCCGCACCAAGUGAUGCGCUCGUUCGUCGACGAGCACCGCGACGUCUACGGAGUCGAGCCGAUCUGCCGCGUUCUGCAGAUCGCUCC